CGCGCGGCCAGCCUGACGCAGCGCGUGGGAGACAAACUUCUCUCUCCUCUUCCUCUUCCUCUUCCUCCUCCUCUGCUUCAAGUCCAGGCGCGUCUGGUUUAGGCUUCAGGAUUCAUCCGCGGACCGAGACGCCGGUUCUGUUCUGGACCAGGAGGGUUCUGUUCUGGACCAGGAGGGUUCUGUUCUGGACCAGGAGGGUUCUGCUGUGGACCAGGAAGGUUCUGCAUGCAGGAGAUGCGAGGAGCAGAGGAGGACACCUGGACAUCCAGCUGACGACCGGAUCCAGCUGGACGUCCUGCAGGAGGAUCAGAGCGGCCAUAAGCCAGUUAUGAUGCAGGCUGAGGGGGUGUCGAUCAUGUCUAAAGACGACGUGAUUAACUGCACCAUCAGCCAUGAGAUCCACCAGUACGUCUUCUCCUGCGUCUACAUCCUGGUGUUGGUGGUGAG